AGAGUUUGAUCCUGGCUCAGGAUGAACGCUGGCGGCGUGCCUAAUACAUGCAAGUCGAGCGAAUGGAUUGAGAGCUUGCUCUCAAGAAGUUAGCGGCGGACGGGUGAGUAACACGUGGGUAACCUGCCCAUAAGACUGGGAUAACUCCGGGAAACCGGGGCUAAUACCGAAUAAUCUAUUUCACCUCAUGGUGAAAUACUGAAAGACGGUCUCGGCUGUCGCUAUAGGAUGGGCCCGCGGCGCAUUAGCUAGUUGGUGAGGUAACGGCUCACCAAGGCGACGAUGCGUAGCCGACCUGAGAGGGUGAUCGGCCACACUGGGACUGAGAUACGGCCCAGACUCCUACGGGAGGCAGCAGUAGGGAAUCUUCCGCAAUGGACGAAAGUCUGACGGAGCAACGCCGCGUGAGCGAAGAAGGCCUUCGGGUCGUAAAGCUCUGUUGUUAGGGAAGAACAAGUACCGUUCAAAUAGGGCGGUACCAUGACGGUACCUGACGAGAAAGCCACGGCUAACUACGUGCCAGCAGCCGCGGUAAUACGUAGGUGGCAAGCGUUAUCCGGAAUUAUUGGGCGUAAAGCGCGCGCAGGCGGUUUCUUAAGUCUGAUGUGAAAGCCCACGGCUCAACCGUGGAGGGUCAUUGGAAACUGGGGAACUUGAGUGCAGAAGAGGAGAGUGGAAUUCCACGUGUAGCGGUGAAAUGCGUAGAGAUUUGGAGGAACACCAGUGGCGAAGGCGACUUUCUGGUCUGUAACUGACGCUGAGGCGCGAAAGCAUGGGGAGCGAACAGGAUUAGAUACCCUGGUAGU
rnacentral:rRNA from 1 species